rnacentral:rRNA from 1 species
AGUUCGGACUGCAGGCUGCAACUCGCCUGCACGAAGUUGGAAUUGCUAGUAAUCGUGGAUCAGCAUGCCACGGUGAAUACGUUCCCGGGUCUUGUACACACCGCCCGUCACACCAUGGGAGCCGGUAAUACCCGAAGUCAGUAGUCUAACCGCAAGGAGGACGCUGCCGAAGGUAGGAUUGGCGACUGGGGUGAAGUCGUAACAAGGUACC